CAGUCGCCGCGGGAAUACGUAGGUGGCAAGCGUUGUCCGGAAUUAUUGGGCGUAAAGGGCGCGUAGGCGGACUGAUAAGUCAGGGGUGAAAUCCCAAGGCUCAACCUUGGAACUGCCUUUGAUACUGUUUGUCUUGAGUUCGAGAGAGGUAAGUGGAACUGCGAGUGUAGAGGUGAAAUUCGUAGAUAUUCGCAAGAACACCAGUGGCGAAGGCGGCUUACUGGCUCGAAACUGACGCUGAGGCGCGAAAGCGUGGGGAGCAAACAGGAUUAGAUACCCCUGUAGUCCCUGUCUCUUAUAA
rnacentral:rRNA from 1 species